rnacentral:tRNA from 1 species
AAUGAAUUGCCUGACAAAAGGAAUACCUUGAUAGGGUAUAACAUAUAAUUUAUAUAAUUAUAUUCAUUA